CCUACGGGUGGCAGCAGUAGGGAGUAUUGCACAAUGGGCGAAAGCCUGACGGAGCAACGCCACGUGGGCGAUGAAGGCCUUCGGGUCGUAAAGCCCUUUUCUGUGGGACGAUAAUGACGGUACCACAGGAAUAAGCCACGGCUAACUACGUGCCAGCAGCCGCGGUAAUACGUAGGUGGCUAGCGUUAUCCGGAUUCACUGGGCGUAAAGAGCGCGUAGGCGGUGUGCUAAGUUGGACGUGAAAGCCCCCGGUUUAACCGGGGGAGUUCGUCCAAUACUGGUGCACUUGAGGGUGGACGGGGAAAGCGGAAUUCCCGGUGUAGUGGUAAAAUGCGUAGAUAUCGGGAGGAACACCAGUGGCGAGGGCGGCUUUCUAGACCACUCCUGACGCUGAGGCGCGAAAGCGUGGGGAGCGAACGGGAUUAGAUACCCCUGUAGU
rnacentral:rRNA from 1 species